rnacentral:rRNA from 1 species
UACAGAGGGUGCGAGCGUUGUCCGGAAUCACUGGGCGUAAAGAGCGUGUAGGCGGCUUGUUAAGUCUUGCGUGAAAUCUCGGGGCUCAACCCCGAGCGGUCGUGAGAAACUGGCAGGCUAGAGUGCGGGAGAGGAGAGUGGAAUUCCUGGUGUAGCGGUGAAAUUCGUAGAUAUUGGGAAGAACACCGGUGGCGAAGGCGGCGACCUGGUCCGAUACUGACGCUGAGGCGCGAAAGCGUGGGGAGCAAACAGG